CCUUCGAUAGCUCAGCUGGUAGAGCGGAGGACUGUAGUUACUACCUCUGGUGGGAGAAAUCCUUAGGUCGCUGGUUCGACUCCGGCUCGAAGGA
rnacentral:tRNA from 1 species